GUCCAAUGACUGCGGCCCACCGAUAGACAUGCACACGCCGUGAAGCGAGACUGGAUAGUCCUCGCGUAUUUUCGUCAGUGCGGCAUGCGGCGGGCCGCCUGCU
rnacentral:sRNA from 1 species